rnacentral:tRNA from 1 species
GAGGUUUUAGCUUAAUAAAAGUGCUUGAUUUGCAGUCAGGAGAUGUAGAUUAAAGUUUUACAAACUUUC